rnacentral:misc_RNA from 1 species
CCUAAAGAACCUGCCUUUGUACUGUCCACACAGAUUGUCUGAUGAAAAGUAAAUAGCAAGGCGUCUUGCGAUUGAGACUUCAGUGUCCCCUUCGUCUAGAGGCCCAGGACACCGCCCUUUCACGGCGGUAACAGGGGUUCGAAUCCCCUAGGGGACGCCACUUGCUGGUUUGUGAGUGAAAGUCGCCGACCUCAAUAUCUCAAAACAGAUUCCGUUAUGUUAAUAGCGAAUCUCGUUUGAGAUAUUUGCUCUUUAAAAUCUGGAUCAAGCUGAAAAUUGAAACGACGCACUGUUUCCUUUCUCCGUAAUAAGAAAGGAAAAGCGGUGUGUUCGAGUCUCUCAAAUUUUCACAACACGACCUGUUUUACGAAACAGCUUCGGGUUGUGA